rnacentral:rRNA from 1 species
GACGAACGCUGGCGGCGUGCUUAACACAUGCAAGUCGAACGGUAAGGCCCUUCGGGGUACACGAGUGGCGAACGGGUGAGUAACACGUGGGUGAUCUGCCCUGCACUUCGGGAUAAGCCUGGGAAACUGGGUCUAAUACCGGAUAGGACCACUGCCUGCAUGGGUGGUGGUGGAAAGCUUUUGCGGUGUGGGAUGGGCCCGCGGCCUAUCAGCUUGUUGGUGGGGUGAUGGCCUACCAAGGCGACGACGGGUAGCCGGCCUGAGAGGGUGACCGGCCACACUGGGACUGAGAUACGGCCCAGACUCCUACGGGAGGCAGCAGUGGGGAAUAUUGCACAAUGGGCGCAAGCCUGAUGCAGCGACGCCGCGUGAGGGAUGACGGCCCUCGGGUUGUAAACCUCUUUCAGCAUCGACGAAGCGAAAGUGACGGUAGGUGCAGAAGAAGGACCGGCCAACUACGUGCCAGCAGCCGCAGUAA